UGCCCUUCAGAGGGGGACAACAGUUGGAAACGACUGCUAAUACCGCAUACGAUCUAAUCUCGGCAUCGAGGAUAGAUGAAAGGUGGCCUCUACAUGUAAGCUAUCACUGAAGGAGGGGAUUGCGUCUGAUUAGCUAGUUGGAGGGGUAACGGCCCACCAAGGCGACGAUGCGUAGCCGACCUGAGAGGGUGAUCGGCCACAUUGGGACUGAGACACGGCCCAGACUCCUACGGGAGGCAGCAUG
rnacentral:rRNA from 1 species